rnacentral:rRNA from 1 species
AUGAGUAACACAGCCGGCCCGAUCAUGAGUUGGAAUGUCAGGGGCUUAAACAAUCCAGCCCGGCGAUCUGUAGUGCAGGACACAGCAAACACGCAUCGCCUCGCCAUUUUAUGCAUCCAGGAAACCAAGCUUGAAGAGUGGACAACAGAAUUCGCCAGGGAAGUAGGAGGCCAAAGGCUAGAUGACUACAUUGUCCUGCCUGCAAAUGGCACAAGAGGAGGCGCCGCCAUCUUUUGGGAUUCAACAUCAGUCAGAAUCCAGUCUCACGUGAUCGGGGAGUUCUCCAUCACGGACAAGGUCACCGUGCUCUCCUCAGGAGCUAGUUUUUGGUUGACGACU